rnacentral:rRNA from 1 species
UAGGGAAUCUUCGGCAAUGGGGGGAACCCUGACCGAGCAACGCCGCGUGAGUGAAGAAGGUUUUCGGAUCGUAAAGCUCUGUUGUUAAGGAAGAACGAGUGUGAGAAUGGAAAGUUCAUGCUGUGACUGUACUUAACCAGAAAGGGACGGCUAACUACGUGCCAGCAGCCGCGGUAAUACGUAGGUCCCGAGCGUUGUCCGGAUUUAUUGGGCGUAAAGCGAGCGCAGGCGGUUAGAAAAGUCUGAAGUGAAAGGCAGUGGCUCAACCAUUGUAGGCUUUGGAAACUGUUUAACUUGAGUGCAGAAGGGGAGAGUGGAAUUCCAUGUGUAGCGGUGAAAUGCUUAGAUAUAUGGAGGAACACCGGUAGCGAAGGCGGCUCUCUGGUCUGUAACUGACGCUGAGGCUCGAAAGCGUAGGGAGCGAACAGG